rnacentral:lncRNA from 10 species
ACCCUGGCUGGGCUCACUUCAUCUCACUGAAUGCUCCGAGCAGGUCCGGGAGGGAGGACUGAUUAGAAAGGAGCCGCGCCCUGUCCUUGGUCACCUUACCCCUGAAGAGCGUCGAUGAGAUUCAAACCCAAACUUUUCUGACCCCAAAGGCAGACUAUUUUGACCCUUUCUGCUCGUGCACAUUAAAAGCUAAAAUACCAAAGAGAAAGUGAAAACGGCUCAAAAAGAGUUCAGGGGCUGAGGGCUUUUAGCUCCUGCUCUGUGGACCAGGGAGGAGGUGAUAUUUGAGCUAGGCCUUGACGAACAUGCAAAAGUAGUCAUUUCCCACAGGAAAAGGCGUGCCUAGUGGCAGCAGCAGGGGACACUGGCCAGCCUCCAUUCCCCUUUUUGCUUGGACCCCAGAAUCCUAAUCCUCUGGGGAUCUGCCUCCCUUCCAUUCUCAGCCCGUGUGGUUUGUGUGGGGUCGACCCCAACCCUGACCACCAGGGAUUAUUUCCGUGGGUUUUAAGGGUGGGCACAUGAUUCUACCUGAGCCAAGGACACUUAGUCCCAUGACUCUUUGGGGCUGCUGGGAAGAGAUUUUGCUCCACCACAGAUGCUCAAAGGAUAGGACAUGCUCUUGCGGCUGCUGGGAAGAGAUUUUGCUCCACCAGAGACACUCAAAGGAUAGGACAUGCUCUUGGGGCUGCUGGCAGCCACCUGGAUACCAUGUGGAAGCAAGCCUGCUUUAGAAUGAAACUGUGAGAAAGGAGAGCCAGACAGAGAGGCAAGGAGGUGAGGCCCAAGAGCUGAUGACACAGUUGGAGCUCCUAGAUCCAGCCAUGCCUGCGACCAGCCCAUUCCUUGGAUAGAUCUACUGCUGCAUUUGCUGACAUGGAGAGACUCUCACCUGAUAUUUUACGGGUGAGUAUUUUACUGCAAGGUUAAAUCAUCAUUAGGGUAGUGUUUCUUAUUAUGCAUAAAUCUUAUGGUAUCACAUGGCUAUAAUUUUUUUCAUGUUACAAUAAAUGAAA